CUUCAUUUUGUGAUCUAAGCUAACCUUUUUAUUGCUACAGAUGCUUUAAAUGAUCCCGUGCAACACCUACUGCAUAUGUUUUGUGUCUUCUAUGUCUCACAUUAUAUGUGUUCUUUUAAAUUGUGGUAUAUAGUCUGGAUCAGAGAUCAUGGAGAAAGGUUUCUACCUGUGUUACUAAGGCUCUUGGAGACUGACCGUAUAAAAAAUGUUUUUAAGUCUCUGAGAGUUCUGAAAGAUUCGGGUGAAACCAUGUCUGUGUAAUCUGGUCCAGAUGUUUGCACAAUUUCUAUAAGAUUUAAGUUGAUACAGCAUCAUCUCAGAUUAGUUAAUGGAAGUUUCAUACAAAUAUUUGAGUUAUGAGCGCGCUAUAUAAAUGGAUCCUUUCUUUAUAUACAAUACUAUAGUAGAUGAAAGUAAUGAAGUUAAUUAAGAAAAAACAUGUAUACAUAAGAAUCCCUAAAAUAAAUCUAAUAUAAACUAAAAUUGGUAUACCUUACAAUAAUAUGUUCUGAAUACAGCUGUUAACUGUUUAUUCUGUGUAAAUGGUGACUGUGAUAAUGCGUGAAGUGUGCAGCUUUACUGCAAAGUGGUUUAAUUUAUAUGUUGCUGUAGAGGCUCUGUGUUGUGGUCUGAUAUAGCUAUAUGGGAAUGGAGAUUUGGAGGUGUUAGUUUAAGACUGCUUUCAUAUUGUGUCUACCCGUGUUUCCUAGGAGGGACACAGAGUGUGUAGUUGCGUGCAAUGAAUGUGUUUUCUGUAUUGGCAUAUCUGCUGGGUAUCCAUUAUGUGUUUCUACUACAUCUGUUUUGUGAGAUGUCUGUUUUAUGAGAUGACGUGUAAUAGUACAUUGGAUGCUGAGUAUGAGUUAUAUGGUUUGAAAUGAAUUGGUGUGUUAUGUGUUUUAUGUAUUGAAUUGUCCAUUGUGUAGGAGUUUAACUAGCAGAGUGAUUUGCAUAUCAUUAACACAAGUAUUUAGUGUUUUUACAAAAGGUGAAAUGCUGUCCAGCCGGCUAGAAUGAAACAAUUGUAUGCUAUCACUCCUGGAGCAAGAAAAGCGCUUGUUACAUCCCAUGUGAAAGGGGCCCCGCAAACUUCUGCUGUUCAAAUCGUGGGUCCACGUUUCCAUUUGCAAAUUGAUUAAUCCUGAAAGUCAUUCUUUUACUGAUAAAAAGGAUUGAAUGGACAAGAUGUCUCUCCCUCAUAAAGGAGUUCUACUAGGGGAGUAUUGUCCAGCUCAGAGUUAACUCUACUUUUAAAGUAUAUUGCAUUGUCUGUGUCAAAGUAAGAUUCAUCUAGUAUGCCUCAUUGAUUAUGGGGUAAUAAUAACAUGGUAUUUUUAAUAGAGAUUAGACAAUUUCUGAAAUUUAUAAGUGAGGUAAUUUUAAUCUCCUAAACUACUGUAUUAUAUUUGUAUGGGUAAAU